rnacentral:lncRNA from 10 species
UAAACACAGAAGAGUAGUGUAUAAAAGCAGCAACAAGAGUGAGAGCAUCUUAAUAAUGCCUCGCAGAAGUUUAUGGGGCUGCCCUCUUUGAGACACAUGGUCAGUUGCCUUAGUUUUCUCGACAUUCCAUGCUUAUCUAUCAACUUCCCAGAAGUAUAAUAUUUUAAGUAGAAAUAGUUCAGUCCUGGUGAGCUAUUCUGGGAGAAAGAGGACAAGCUGCUUGUUCUCAGUGCAAUGCACCCUCUUGCUUCUCUGUCGUGGCCCCAUGGUCGUCUAGGUGUGGGAACGAGGGAAAUAAGAAAGGGUUACAUUUUGCUUACUGAACACCAGCAAGAUAAACACUUCCAAGGCCUCGCUUCUGUUAUUUGUUGCUGUCAGCAGCCUUCUGAGAUGGCACACCAUGAUACCUGCUCCCUCAUCUUCACGCCUUGCUUAAUCACAUCCUGUUGAGAGUGGGCUGGAAAGAGCAAGUGGCUUCUGAGGAAUGGAGCACUGCCAAGUGUUGGGAUGACGCUACUGAGACUAAGCCACAAAGACUCUAACUUUAUGGUCUUCUUUCUCUUUCUGGGCCUCCUCACCUGUUUUCAUGAAGGAAGUUGUGAGCUGCCCCAUGGAGAGGCCUAUAUGACAGAGAACUGGUCAACAGCCAACAAAGAAUGGAGGGCCUCCGUGCAGCAGCCCAUGAGGAUCUGAAUCCCACCAAUCACCUUGCAAGGGAGCUUGGAAAAGGAUCCACCUAGGCUUGACACGACUGAUGUCCCGGCUGACUACAGGCUCAUAAGAGGGCUCAGCUAAGCAAUGCCAAAAUUCCUCACCCACAGAAACUGUGAGCCUUGUGAAGAAGGUGCCUUGCUUCCCUUUCACCUUCCACCAUGAUUGUAAGUUUCCUGAGGCCUCCCCAGCCAUGUGAAACUCUGCAGUUGUCUGCAGGUAACUGAAACUGCAGACAGAGAAACUGUGGAUAAGGCGACUGCUGUAAUGCAUUCACUAUACUUCAUCUCUGAAUGUGAGCAACUCCAGAAAACUACUUGGCCAGAAAUGGGGUUCCACUAUGUUGCCCAAGCUUUGAACUCCCAGACUGAAGAGAUCCUCCUACCUUCGCCUCCCAAAAUGCUGGGAUUAAGGGCACAAGCCACUGUGCCCUGCCUCCUACAAUAUUUUGACAGACAUCAAAUAGCUGCACUCUUUCUGAACAAGCCUGAAUGUAACCUCUUAUUUUCUUCUCAACUAUGGUAGUUCAGGUCACUAUACUAAUUAAUCAGCAUUGUUACCAUUUGUGACAGACUCAACAGUAUCCAGAGUAGAGCAAAUUAUCAUUGAAAGCACUUUUGAAAAAUGGAAUUGGGAACUGGUAGUAUUUAGCAAAGAAUGACAGUAUCCAACAGAACACGGGAGCUCUCUUCAAAUAUUUAAAGGAGUGGUGUAUGGAAGAGGAAGUAGAUUCACUAUUUGUUACAGCUCUUGAAGUCAAAACAAAGAAGAAGGCAGAGAAUUGCAGGAUCUCUGCUUAUAAUAGAAAAUGUCAAUUAGUGAAAUAAGUGCUCUUAAAAUGCUAUAGUUACUCUCAACCCCUAGAACUAUGCAAAAGUGGCUGAGGUAUUAAUCAUUGAGAAGACUUUGGUAACAGUGAAAUAGGUGACCAAUAAAUUAGUACCCAGAGGCUAAAUUAUGACAUUAAAACACCCUCGGAUUUUCAUAAAAAUAAUUAUUUUGCCACCAUUUGUACCAGAUUAUGUCUGAUUGUAUUCAAAUAUUUUAUGCAAAUAUUUCAGCACAGCAUAAUUACUGAGUUUGAUUUGUAGACAUGAUUUAUAUAUUCAAAGAAGACUGUGGACAUCUCUCUUGUUGAAAGCUCUUUGGGCAAAAACUAAAGUGGCCUUAGACUCAACGUGCUCUGCAAUAUUAUCUGCAUUAAUUUUGAAUGUCACAAACAAUUAGAAGCAUUGUUAGAGAUAAAAGUAUUUAUCAUCAUGUAUGUCAAUGUAUUCUCUUAAUAAGUUAAUAGAUGGAGAUCAUCAUUCUAGAUUUACUUUUAUCUUCAUUUUGACAUCUGAGGAAUUAUGGUAAUGUUAUGUCAGAAAGUAUGAAUAAAUGCUUGGAAAGUGUCAAAAUUACACAGGUGCCAUUUUGAAAGGGGUAACUUCAGAAAAGUGCACUUGUAAUAUCCAGGAAUUCAUACGGAUAGUGAAUAGAAUGAUAGAAGACAAUGCAAAGCACUUCCUCACAGAUAGCCAAGUGAGAAACACAUAAAGAAUGAUGGAGUUGGGAAAUCUUUGUAUUGUAACCACCAUAUUGGCAUCAAGGCCAACUAGAUGACAAAAUUAAUUUGAUGAACAAGAUAUGAUAUAUACAUAGUCUGAAAUAGCCCAUUGAUUUCUUAUCAAUACCACAUGUCUUAUAAAUUGCAAAGGUAAAAUUAAUAACUUUGUACGGGGAUAUCCAAGAGACACCAUUUUAACCAAGUGAUGAAGUUUAUCAUCACCAAUAAUGAGACAGAGGCAUCAUGUGCAUCUAGACAUAAGGUACUAGAGAAAACACACCUCAUUUUGAUGGUACUCCUGCCAAAAAUAAAUAAAUUGAAUCCAGUUAUCAGGAAUCAUUAAACCAGCUCAUAUCGAAGGAUGUUCAACAAAAUAACUGGCCUGUCUUCAGAUAUAUCAGCUUCAUGAACAAACAAGAAACAGAGAAUGUUCCAGACUGAAGGAAAGUAAAGUUACCAGACAAUGUGAUGUCAUUCAUGAUUGUGAAUUGGAUACUGGACCAGAAAAAAAUAUAGCUAAAAAAGACAGUAUAGCAAUAAUGAAGAAAUUUUCAGUAUCACUGUGAAUUAGAUAGUACUGCGCCAAUGUUAUCAAUGAUACCAAUACUAUCAAUGAAUUAGAUAGUAUUGUACCAAUGUUAAAUGUCUUGAUUUUGUUAAUUGUAUCAGGUUCGUGCAGUUUUUAUCUUUGGGAAAUUCAUACCAAAAUAUUUGGUGUUAGGUGAAUAUGAUAUCUACAACUUAAUUUCAAGUAGUUCAGAAAAGUAUAUGCAUAUAUAGAUAUACAUAUAUAGAUAUAUAGAAUUGUGUGUGUUAUGUGUGUAUUUGUGUGCAUGAAAACACUUAGGGGAGAGAAGACAGAUAGAUGAUAGGUAGAUAGGUAGCUAGAGAGAGAGAGAGACAGACAGAUAGACAGACAGAAAGACAGACAGACAGACUGAAAGGUAGACAGGCAGAUAGAAAGACAGGUAGGUAGGUAGGUAGGUAGAUAGAUAGAUAGAUAGAUAGAUGAUAGAUAGAUAGAUAGAUAGAUAGAUAGCCAGCCAGCCAGUCAGACAAAUAGACAGAUAGGCAGACAGAUAGACAGAUAGAUAGACAGAUAGACAGAAAGAUAGUUAGACAGACAGAUCCACAGAUAGAUAGACAAACGAUAGCCAGCCAGCAAGCCAGCCAGACAGACAAAUAGAGAGACAGACAGAUAGAUAGACAGAGAGACAGAUAGACAGAUAUAGAUAGAUAGAUAGAUACAAAUAGAUGGAUAGGUAGAUGAUAGAUAGAUAGAUAGAUAGAUAGAUAGAUAGAUAGAUAGAUAGACAGUCAGAUAGAGCAAAGCAGUUGGGCGCAAUGGUUCACACCUAUAAUCCCAGCACUUUGGGAGGCUGAGGCGGGCGGACCUGAGGUCGGGAGUUCAAGACCAGUCUGGCCAACAUGGCGAAACCCCGUCUCUACUAGAAAUAUAAAAAUUAGCCAGGUGUGGUGGCGGGUGCCUGUAAUCCCAGCUACUUGGGAGGCUGAGGCAGGGAGAACUGCUUGAACCAGGGAGGCAGAGGUUGCAGUGAGCCAAGACUGUGCCACUGCACUCCAGCCUGAGUGAGACUCUGUCAAAAAACAAAACAAAACAAAACAAAAAACCACAAUAACAUAGAUAGAGCAAAGCCACUGUGGGAAAUUUUUAACAUGUCCUAAAUCUGGUUGAAUGUUUACAGCAAAUUUUAUACUGUACUUUGAUAUUUUCUGUGUGCUUGAAAAUAUAUAAAAUAAAAAUUUAUAAAAAUAAAAAGAGAACCAGAAACGAAAGUUGGAAUAAUCAAAAAUAAAUCUAAACAAUGAUGCAUCUCUGGGUAAUCAGUUGUUUUUUUUAGCUCAUUCUGAUGAAAUUUUUGGCUGAAUUGACUUCAGCAGUGGAUCUCACUUUCUGAAAGAUUUGUGCUGUCCUGUUAGGCUAUCUGAUACACAGGACUCAGUUUGUGGGAAACAGAAAUGAAGUACAGUAACUUAUGGUAAAUAUUUAACAAGAAUACAGCUCAGUACCCUGCAGCAUGAACUGCAGGGAAACUUACCUUAAGCAGAACCAUACCUAACAAUAUUUAGGUUUCUUAAGCUGUUUGGGAUUACACCACUUGUGCCUGCAUAAUGUCUAGGAUGCCUUCUUAACAGCAAUUGCAAUUUUUUUUGC